CCCGCACAAGCGGUGGAGCAUGUGGUUUAAUUCGAUGCAACGCGAAGAACCUUACCUGGGCUUGACAUCCCGAGAAUCCCCUGGAAACAGGGGAGUGCCUUUCGGGGAACUCGGAGACAGGUGCUGCAUGGCUGUCGUCAGCUCGUGUCGUGAGAUGUUGGGUUAAGUCCCGCAACGAGCGCAACCCUUGUCUUUAAUUGCCAGCAUUCAGUUGGGCACUUUAAAGAGACUGCCGGUGUUAAGCCGGAGGAAGGUGGGAUGACGUCAAGUCCUCAUGGCCUUUAUGCCCAGGGCUACACACGUGCUACAAUGGGUGGUACAAAGAGAUGCCAACUCGCGAGAGCGCGCCAAUCUCAGAAAGCCAUCCUCAGUUCGGAUUGGAGUCUGCAACUCGACUCCAUGAAGUUGGAAUCGCUAGUAAUCGCGGAUCAGCACGCCGCGGUGAAUACGUUCCCGGGGCUU
rnacentral:rRNA from 1 species